GAUCUUUAUAUAUUUAUAGUUUUUGUAAAAAUUAGUUGAUUUAUUUUUGAAUAUUAUAUUAUAUUAUAUUGGGGUAAUAAUAAAAUUUUAAAAAUUUUUAUUUAUUAGAUUCAUAAUUAAUUGUUUUUUUUGAUCCAGUAUUAUUGAUUAUAAAAUGAAGUUACCUUAGGGAUAACAGCAUAAUGAUUUUUGAGAGUUCUUAUCAA
rnacentral:rRNA from 1 species